GCAAGCUCGGUUGGUAGAGCAUGAGACUCUCAAUGUCAGGGUCAUGGGUUUGAGCCCCACAUUGGGCA